CGGUGGGAUGUAAAAUAAGACCUCAUAGUCUCCUCCGCCGCGCAACAUAAUUCGGCAACACCUUACAAAUACAUUCCGAAACCAACACGCCCGAAUAUUUAAAAAAGGCUCCUCACGGUUGGGGCAUGAGGUCUAAGAAGCGGAAGAGAGAAAGUGCACGCCCCAUUCCCGUAAGGAUCGCCUAGCGUCUUCACUAUCCCUACGUGGCUCAGCGCGAACCCGGCCCUUUCCGCUUGGUGGCUUGGAGGGCAGCGGAGAGGGAGCGUAAUUUCGUGGGCGCAACUCUGCGUCACACUCCCUCGGCAGAAGUUAUGCCCGCAGCCGAUGGAUACGGGAUCCUUGAAGUAAUCCAGGCAGACGGCACACACCGCUUCCUCCUGAAGGGUCUGCGAGGCGUUGGGAGCAGCGGCAUAGCCAGCCAUCUUAACGCGCUGCCGGUUCGUAUGGAUGCGUCCGCUCACAGCUGAGAAGCGGGGGACACACCUGCAGGCCUGCCUCCAAGCGACGCUGGUGAUCCAAAGCUGUCCCCAACCCUGCUCUGCCUACUCGGGCCCUCAGAGAAGCCUUGCGGCCCUCUCUCAGACUCUCCCCAGCUUUAAGCGCGAAAGCCCGAGGCCCGAACUCACAGCUGCCCUCGGAAGGCAGUGGGGGCGGAACCAGCUGCGGCCCCCACCUCCCUUUGAGACUCAGCGUGAAAACUCGGAUCCCUUCACGUUUCUCGCCUCCCUUCCGGUUUGCCUGACCUGGCGGCUUCCGCCUCAGAAGCCGGCGCUCCUCACCCCGCCAGAGGUGACCGAAAAUGACGUAGGCGCAUUAGCCCACACUCGGGAGGGGGCGGACUGGGCGAACGGAGGGCCACCUCUCUAUGGUUUCCCCCGGAAACCGGAGACACGACCCCCGGAAACCCCUGCAGCCCAUCCAGCCGCCCCAGACAGGAAAGAGGGCCUGGUCAGAAUGGGUGGAGGCGGCGAGAGAAUCAGUUUAAGCCACUGAGCGCUCUAAUCAGCCAGACGCAGAGGGUCCAACAGCCGCUCAGGAAAGCCCGUCCCCAGAUGGACCCAAAAGGGUGGGGACUGCGGUGGCUGACCUCUGGUACUCUCGUGCACUUCCGGCCCCUCUACCCAGAGGCCUUUGUGGUAGGGAGGAUUCUGUCUGCACUGCUGCAGCGCUCGAGGGCGUGGUCUGUAGCAACCUGGCGGGAUCGAGCUCACUGCGCAGUUGGGUGGCGGUGAGAUCAAAGAAUCUCGCGUGAAGACUUGGGUGCUUCCAACUUUCCUCAGACCGAUUCACCCCUUGCUUCCUGCCUUCAGCAGGCACCAGCUUCGCCUGUGGAUCUUUUUACCUCCAUUUAUAAUCCUUCCAUUCACCAUCCACUCACCAUGCAUGCAUGCAUCCACCCACCCAAAUAACCAUUCAUUUUUCAUCCAUCCCUCUAUCUCUCCAUCCAUCCAUCAUAGGCAUGCAUAACCCAUCCAUCCAUUUAUCCAUCCAUUUUCAUCUAUCCACGUUAUAGGAACAAAAAAAUGAGUAAGGCAUGAUUGUUCCUUCAAGGAGUAUAGAGUUAUACGCGAGCGGUCAUCCUUCACCCAACGUUCACAAGGUUUAUUUUUUUCUUUUUUUAACUUGACCCUCAGUAAGAAUUACAUUGCAAGUACUGAUCCAAUACAGACUUGCACAUAUAUGACAGAAACAAAAUUGGGGGAAAUUGUUCUUUUCCUUAGGGCGUUCAAGUCACUCCGAUAUGUUCUGUUUUACUUCAUUAAGAUGCUGUUCAACACCCGUUGGAGUGAUUGCACCCCUCAAUAAUUGGUCACUUUGGUUUGAGGAACUCCACCUGCCCUAAUGGAAACUUCAACGAGCCCUGGAUCCCUUCCUUUCCCUCUCUGGGCCCAAGCUUGGACUCUUAAGUCCCACAGAGCAAGAAUGGUAAACGUGCUAUUCAACAUUGUACACAUAGCUCCUCUGUCAUAGUGCUGAACAUAUAGCAGGUACUCCCUACAUAUCUGCUGAGUAAAUAAAUGGAACCCAACAAAUUGCUACCAUCAAGUCCUGCUGGUUUUUAUCUCCUCAGAUCUAGGUCUUCUCUAUCUCUGUUCCUUCCAGCCUACAUCUGACCCCAUAGCUUCCAAAUGGACAAGAAGUUUCCUGAAGGGUCACUUGGCCUCAUUUUAGGUCCGUCUUUCAGCAACCAGUACCAUUCACCUGAGAUGAAAGUCUGGCACUCAAGCCAAGUUGUUGCCUGUAUGUCUUUGGGCAUGUUGUUCACUCACCUAGAAGGCUCUCACCUCACUGCUUCACUUGGAUAUAAUCCCUAAUUAACCUUCAAGUCUCUGCCCAGGCAUAAUCUCCUGAAGGAGACUCUUCCCUGAGGCUGGCACCAGGCUGUGUUCACAUGCCAACUCUGUCACUCUCUGUAUGACCUUGGAUUAGUUUCUUAACAUCCCUGUGCUUCAGUUUCCCUGUCUGCAACAUAAAGAUGAUAGUAGCACACACGUCAUGGGUUGUUGUGAAGUUGGAUUAAUUGUAAAAUGGUUUGAACAGUGCCCACUGGAGUUAUCUUUUUAUCCUCAUCACCUGCCACUAUAUUCCUUUCCUGUAGUAGAUAAGCCUUAGAAGAAACUCUCCCUUAUCUCCUAUUCUCUCCCACUUUGAGUAGGGUCAAGUGAUUUGAACGCUGAGGGGAAAAAUAAUACGCCAUCUGUCAUCCUAGGUUUUUUUUUUUCUUCCUGGCCACAGUGCUCGGGAUCUUAGUUCCCUGGCCAGGGAUCGAACCCGUGCCCCCUGUAGUAGAAGCUUGGAGUCCUAACCACUGGACCGCCAGGGAAUUCCCUGUCAUGCUAGUGGUUCUGAGAGCCUUUUGUCUGGAGAGGGAGGGAGUUGAAACCCAGGUCUGACCUGCCUAAGGUGGGACACCUAUUGGUGGUGUUUGUUAGAAAACUAGCAAGUAAACUCCCAUAUACAAUCUGGGAACCAUCCUGGAGGUCAUGACUGACCCUGAGAAGCCACGGGGAAAAUGUGAGCCAUGAGAACUGGAACUGAGUUUCAAGGCUGGAAUACUUCCCCAUCUCUGAAUGCAGGUUCUCCCCUGCACAUGGAAGCGGGUGGGCAAAGAGCUGGGGAGCAGACCAAGGGAAGAGGGGGCUGCUUAUAAAAGUUUCUGCUUGCCCCAGGGAGCAGAGCCCCGGUGGGAAGGAGAGCUGGAGAAAGAGCAAGGGGGAAUGGGUGGAAGAAGAUGGUGAGAGAAGGCUUGUGGGAUCAUCCUGAAGGAACUGUCGAGACUUAAAAGGAACAUAGAGUGGACACCCAUUAUCAAGAAUACGUAGGUGAAUAAAGACCUGUAAAGUUCAA